UACGUAGGGGGCAAGCGUUGGUCCGGAUUUAUUGGGCGUAAAGAGCGUGUAGGCGGCCAGACAGGUCUGCUGUGAAAACUCGAGGCUCAACCUCGAGACGCCGGUGGAAACCGUUUGGCUAGAGUCCGGAAGAGGAGAGUGGAAUUCCUGGUGUAGCGGUGAAAUGCGCAGAUAUCAGGAAGAACACCCGUGGCUAAGGCGGCUCUCUAGUACGGUACUGACGCUGAGACGCGAAAGCGUGGGGAGCGAACAGG
rnacentral:rRNA from 1 species